AGUGAACGCUGGCGGUAGGCCUAACACAUGCAAGUCGAACGGCAGCACAGUAAGAGCUUGCUCUUACGGGUGGCGAGUGGCGGACGGGUGAGGAAUACAUCGGAAUCUACUUUUUCGUGGGGGAUAACGUAGGGAAACUUACGCUAAUACCGCAUACGACCUACGGGUGAAAGCAGGGGAUCUUCGGACCUUGCGCGAUUGAAUGAGCCGAUGUCGGAUUAGCUAGUUGGUGGGGUAAGGGCCCACCAAGGCGACGAUCCGUAGCUGGUCUGAGAGGAUGAUCAGCCACACUGGAACUGAGACACGGUCCAGACUCCUACGGGAGGCAGCAGUGGGGAAUAUUGGACAAUGGGCGCAAGCCUGAUCCAGCCAUACCGCGUGGGUGAAGAAGGCCUUCGGGUUGUAAAGCCCUUUUGUUGGGAAAGAAAAGCAGCAGGUUAAUACCCCGCUGUUCUGACGGUACCCAAAGAAUAAGCACCGGCUAACUUCGUG
rnacentral:rRNA from 1 species